rnacentral:lncRNA from 10 species
GGAGCCUGCAGAGGGAGGGAGAAUGUGAGCAGCUUCCAGAAGGUGUGGGGCUUUGAGGAAAGGGGACGGAGAGCAUCUGAAGGAAGCUUGGGUGUGAUCGGGCCACUGUCUCCAGAAGACUCGGGAAGGCUACUCAGAGAAGGGUCCCCCCAAGGGAUGUGGGACGGUUGGCCUAACCCUGUGGCAGACGGCUCUGCUUCUCUUCAUGGCCUAUGGAUUUGGAAAGCUCCUGAGUGCAAUGAGGAGUACCUCACCUAGCAGCCAAGACCUAUUCCCUGCCCCAGUGCCCCAGUACCCCAGAAACAGGCCAAGCCCCAGACUCUCCUGGCAUAAAUACCGGCUCCCGUCCAACCUCACGCCAUCAGGUAUGGGAGAUGCUGGGACCAGCAGCUAGCAGAGGGAAAAUGACAUAUCCUAGGAUUCAAUCCAAUCAGGAUUCCAUCCCAAGGACCAAGGUAGAAUAGAACAGCAGCCGUUCUUUCUGGGAGAUGAACCCUGCAAAUUAAGCUGCCUGGCAGGCUUGGCAGCCUGUAGGUGUGACGGGUGAGGCCUCAGCCCACUCUUUCCCCAGCCCUUGAAUUCCAUUUGUCCAGGCCUCCAGGCUGUACAGCACCCCUGCCAUGUGCACAUAAGACAGCAGGGAAGCUGACAGGCGACCACUAUCCUCCCACUCCCCAUCAGCUGCUAGGUGAGUGGGGAACAAAGAAACAGAAAGUCAUGGGAACCACCCUCCCUUGCCAAGCAACAAAUGCGCUAAGAUGCUGAGCCAGGGGAGGGGGGAUUGGGCCUGGGAGCAGCUGGUAUGAUUGGUCUCACCUGCCCAGCAGACAGAAAAUGCCUGCAUUCUUGGUUGGGUAAUUGAACUGCCUCUCUUUCUGGAGGUGAGUGUGGGGCAGAGCAUCUCUGAGCACAGGCCUCCACUGCCUGUAGUUCCCUCCCUCCUAGGUAUGGGUCCUGGGGAGGUUAUACUUGGGGGGCAAUAACUGUAGGCAAUAAUGCUAACAGUAACAGUCACAGGGCUCGGGACAGGGAGGGAACCUUGGGCUGGGGUGGGCUGGAAUGUGCCUCCGGGGCAGCCGGUGAACUGACACUGCCCCUCCUCAUUUGCUUAGAGAGCCUGCCAUCGGGCCAGGCAGCCUUGGAGGGCGUGCCCAGACUGACAGCUGCCUAAGCACAAGCUUGCACUUGGCAGGAACUGGACUUGCCCACAGUCAGGGUGCAGUACAAAUUUGUAGGAAGAAUAAAAGGCUGUGGCAGCGAGUGCGUUUCUGAAAGUGAGAAGCUGAGAGGCAGCUCUGCUACUGGCUCUCUCCCACUCCUCUCAGAGGCGGCUUCUUCCUGACUCCUCCGCCUCCUGACCCCCAGGUCCUAUGCAAGUGUGGGAAAUCCUCUGGAUACCCGAGGGAAAGAAUGGGGCCCUCCCCUGGGGCUCUCGCACCCAGCGUGGCUGGUGGUGGUCAGAGAAGCCAGAAGGAUGAAGCUGCC